rnacentral:rRNA from 1 species
UUAAAGCCUUAGGGUGCUACAAGAGGGACUUGCGUCUGAUUAGCUAGUUGGUAGGGUAAUGGCCUACCAAGGCGAUGAUCAGUAGCUGGUCUGAGAGGAUGGUCAGCCAGAUGGGGACUGAGACACGGCCCCAACUCCUACGGGAGGCAGCAGCAAGGAAUCUUGGGCAAUGAGCGAAAGCUUGACCCAGCGACACCGCGUGAGGGAAGAAGGCCUUCGGGUUGUAAACCUCUUUUCUUGGGGAAGAAUUUUGACGGUACCCGAGGAAUAAGCCUCGGCCAACUACGUGCCAGCAGCCGCGGUAAUACGUAGGAGGCGAACGUUAUUCGGAUUUACUGGGCGUAAAGGGAGCGUAGGCGGUUCCUUAAGUCAGAUGUGAAAUCUUCUGACUCAAUCAGAAGGAGUCGUUUGAUACUGAGGGACUUGAGAAUAGCAGAGGGAAAUGGAAUCCCCAGUGUAGCGGUGAAAUGCGUAGAUAUUGGGGAGAACACCAGUGGCGAAGGCGAUUUUCCAGGUUAUUUCUGACGCUGAGGCUCGAAAGCGUGGGGAGCGAAGCGGAUUAGAUACCCGCGUAGUCCACGCCGUAAACGGUGGACACUAGAUAUAGGAGGUAUCGACCCCUUCUGUGUCGAAGCUAACGCCUUAAGUGUCCCGCCUGGGGAGUACGGCCGCAAGGCUGAAACUCAAAGGAAUUGACGGGGGCCCGCACAAGCAGCGGAGCGUGUGGUUUAAUUCGAUGCUACACGAAGAACCUUACCAGGGCUUGACAUGACAGAAGUAGGAAUCCGAAAGGAGGACGACCUGUAUCCAGUCAGGAGCUGUCACAGGUGCUGCAUGGCUGUCGUCAGCUCGUGCCGUGAGGUGUUGGGUUAAGUCCCGCAACGAGCGCAACCCUUGUCCUAUGUUAAAUUCUCAUAGGAGACUGCCUUGUACAGCAAGGAGGAAGGAAAGGAUGACGUCAAGUCAGCAUGGCCUUUAUGUCCUGGGCUACACACACGCUACAAUGGGCGCUACAGAGGGUUGCCAAGGAGCGAUCCGGAGCUAAUCCCAAAAAAGCGUCCUCAGUUCGGAUUGCAGGCUGAAAUCGCCUGCAUGAAGUCGGAGUUGCUAGUAACCGCAGGUCAGCUAUACUGCGGUGAAUACGUU